UCAGUUUCCGUCUACCAAAUCCACUCACAAGGCAUUGGUCGGCCCAGGGCUAUAGCAGAAGACACUUGCCCAAGAUGCCACGCAGUAGAACUGAACCCGGAACCAUGUGGUUGGUUAGCAAGCUACUUACCACUCAGCCACUCCUGCGCCUAUAAAGGUUUCAGAUUUUGAGGGGAAGGGAUUAAUUGAUUACAUUGAUCCCAAUGUUCAACUACUAUUUCAUCAACCCUGACAGAAUGAAAGCAAAUUUGACUUCAGCAGGCUUUGAACUCAAAGCAAAGUGUUGGAAGAAAUGCUAAGUAUUCUGUCCAAUGUGCUAAUGAUUCUGCCAGUUCGCUACCUUAAACACAAUAAUAAUAAUUAUUUCUAAUAUAGGACCUGAAAUAUGGGAGGCGACUAGUUCAUUACAAUGACCCAAAUAUUUGACUGGUACUUCAUUUUGAUUCCUAAAGGAUGAAAGACAAAGUUGACCUCUGUGGGGCUCUGUGCUAACAAUUCUGCCAGAUUGCCACCUUAAACAUCAAUAUAAUAAUAAUAAUGACAUGAAACUAACAAGACUUUUGUUUUUGUUUUAUUUCUCUCCAAAGAAUUCAAGACAAAAAGAAAAUUAAAAAAAACUAACAAAAGUGUGAGAAGAAUCAGUAGAAAAAAGUAUAAAGAAGUUCAGAUCUUUGUUGGUAUAAAAUAGACUUUUACCUUUCUACCUGUUAAAUCAUCUGUAAGUUGAGAUUUGAUGAUAGAAUGAGAGGCUGUGACAAUUUCUUUGACAAAUGAAACAUUAAACUCCCACUUCUGACAAGGAAUGAAGGGAGAUUUAAAAAAUCAAAAAAAAUCCAUAAAAACAUUGGAUUUUUAAAAAAAAAUUUUAGCAGUUUUAUUUUGAGGAAAUAAGAAUGAACUGAAAUUUUAAUGGUUGUUAUGCUGAAUUAUAUGUUUAUUUCCAAAUACACUGACUAAAGAGGUGUUGUAAUAUGUAUGGACUAGGCGAGAUUUUAUAGGAAAUUAUUGCUGCUGUUGCUUCCUGGUAGUUCUGGGUUUUUUUUUCUUUUUUCUUAAAACCAUGUUAAACAAGAGAAUUGUUUUGAAAUAAUAGCGAUUAUAUUGAGUAUAUAGGUAACUACUCUUAUAAAUACUAAAGAUUGGGACAGGAAGACGGGGAUGUUUUGUUGGGAUGAAGAUAUAUAUUUAUAUAUAAAACAGAUAACUUAUUUUCAUGCUAUAAUGCUUUCCAUCCCCUCCUCUUUGAAAAAAGGAAAAACAAAGCAAAACAAAAAUGAAGCACACAAGCUAUAAAUAUGAAAAAAAAAAAAGAAUUUCUAAAGAAAAUCUGCAAAAUGACGCUUGUUAGUAAAUUUAGUAAGUAAAAUUAACAAUUUUGUCAUACACUGCUGCCAAUCUGUAGCCAGUGUAUUUAGGGGUAAGCAAUGUAUUAAAGUUAGACAUUUCCAGUAUCUUUGUUUGCAUUAGUGGUGUAACUAUAUUGGCUCAUUAGAACCAAUUCUCUGUUUUAGAAUUAGAGAAGGGAGAUGAUGUCUGUCUUUUUUUUUUUUUUUUUUUUUACUUUAAUGCAUAUAUCAUCCCAUUUCGUUCUCGUAAUAGUCAACCUCUUUCCUUUUCGUGAAAGAAAAAAAUUCUCUCUUUUAGAAAGUCAUUUUCAACUUGAAGAUCUGUGCUAAGAUCCGUUCUCCUUUACUGUGGGAUAUCUAUUUGUUACAUGCAUGAUAUAUAUGACAUAACACCCAUAUUACACAGCUCUAACAAUGGAAAAGGGUUGGGGAAAUAUAAUUAUUCACUUCUUAUUCUAAAGGGUUGGCUGGGAUUGAGGUGGUGUGCACUAUAUAUAUAACCAGAUGAUAUACACUAGACCACAAAAUGAGAAGGUAGGACUAGAUAACAAAAUCUUAAUAACUAUUAUAUGAAUUCCUGUAUGUAUCACACAAAGAUACUCUAAAACAAUUGGGUGCAAAACAGGGGAGUUAAAAGUUGACCUUUAACCUAUAAAUGUGUAUGUAUGCGUAUAUAUAUAUAUAAUUUCAACUGAAGCCCACUUAAUUCAUUUUGUGUGUAUUUUGGGAACUUUUUAUAAACUGAAAUUGGAAAUGAAAAGUUAAAAAAACACAUUAAACUUCAAUAAAAAAUGUAAUGUAAAGAAAGAUUUAAAUUGGAUGCCCCCCCUCUUUUUUUUUUAAAAUACAGGAAGUUAAAGUUUUAAUUCUAGCUUUUGUGCUUCCUUUGAAUUUAGUUUAUAAAAUUACAUCAGUUUUAUCAAUUUCAAACUUCAGUACAAUGAAUUGUAUUGAAAGACUGAAAAAUAAAAUGUAAAAACAGAAAUUAAGAGAAAAAAAGACUUGAAAAUGAAAAUUUCCAUUAUUUAUGUGUAUAAUUAUUUUCUUUCAUUAGCUUCAGUUGCUGGACUGUAGGCACAUUAGCAUGCUAUAUAUAUAUAUGCAUGUGUGUGUAUUAUAUAUAUAUAUUGUAUGUAUUGUUACAAUUGAACUUCACUUGCUAGUUUACUUCUGUGAAGGGUCUCUACCAAAAUUUACAUUGAUCACAUAGCAGUUAUGACUUAUUUCACCACUAAUAUAUUCAACAAUCUGAUUCCCAAUGGGAGAUUUAACUUGAAUUGAAAAUGUGUAAAAACUAUAGAACUAGGAAAUUAAGGGAAGGGGGAUAAAGUUUGUAAAAAAUGAAAACAGAAAAAGAAAAACUUCUCUUUAUCUUAAAACAAAGAGCAAUGAUGUGUACCUACUAAAUGCUUAUCUGGAGUGGAAUAACUAGAAAAAGUUAAGUUUCUAUUGGAGUAAGACUCUUAAAACUUGAAUCUUCCAUCUAAUGUUUUCCUUCUCCAAAUAAAGAAUAUUUCGGCAGCCAAAGUAUUUCACAUGACAUUUUUUUUUUAUUUCCAUGCAAUUAAUUUGUAAGAUUAAAUUAAUAGUUAUAAUUGUAAUUGUUUUUGACAAAAAUGACAAUACUUGAAACUCAUCUCAGAGAGAGAAAAAGGAGAUGAACAAAUAAAAUAAGUAAAUAAAUUAGAAAAUUCUAGAAUAUCUAAACCUUACUCUGUUGACAAACUAAUUUCAGAACAUCAUCACAGAACCGCUUUUGCAAAUAAAGCAAGCAUCAGACAAAAGCUUUUGUUGUUUAGCUCCAGGCUGCAUCUUGUUUGAACAGGCCUCUGAUCAAAGGCAUUCCAACAUAACUAUCCUGGAUUAUUCGUAAUGAGCAACAUUAUCCAAUAUGUCCUUCUCUGUUGGUAUUUUGAGCCAGUUAGUCGCAAGUUGAGGGAGAUUUGGUUACUAUUUCUAACAGACUGAAGCUGUCUUAUUGGUCAUAUCUUAUGAAUUAUCUGAUUUCUUUACAGAGAUAAAAGAGUAAAUUAUAUAUUUAUUAUUGAAAGAUAAGGUAGGAUCAGGUUGUUAAACUGUAUAUAUAAAAAAAUAUAAAUACACAAAGUUGCAUAGAAUAUAUCAGGUAUUAACCUCAUUUUUUACCUUGCUAGCCUAACUAACGAAACCUAAAAACUAUGGUCAAAAGCAUUCCAUUUAUGUUUUAUUUAUAUAUCAUUGUCCUACCUGUCAUUCUUUAUUUAAAAUGGCAGGGUAUAGUUUGAGAGAUUAGGCUCUUAUUUCUUGCAGGUCUGAAUUGCUUGCAUAAAGGUUCCCUCACUGAGAUAAGAGUAUGAUGAUGAUAAAGGUGUUUGUAAUAGAGUAAGUGUUAUCCUCCUUUAUUUACAAACCAACAAUAUAGAUAGUAAUAAUAACACCAUUUAAACCUAUCUAAUAGAACUACUACCUGCACAGAUUAAUUCAUAGAUAACAAAACUACCUGCCUAGUUAGGAAGACUACCUGUAUUGAAUAUUUAGGAAAUUUUAAUACAUUUCUGGGGGACACUGAAUUUUUUUUCAAUUUUUUUUUACCAUAAUAGAUUUAAAAAAAAUAAAAUCAAAAAAUACAAUGUAAAAACUAAAACCCCAUUUCAAUCAUUGUAAAAUGUGCUGUCCUUAGUAAAGUUGGACAAGCAUAACAUUCUGCUGCAUUGAAUUCUAUUGUAGAAAAUAUUAAUGUUACUUUAUAGUGUUUUGUUGUAUUUUUUUAAAACACCAUAUUGGUAAGUGGUGGUCAUGGGAGGUGUCAUUUGGACCCAAAUACUUAACACGAAAACAAGAACCUCCUAUUUCCCACCCUCCAAUAAACAUAUGGACUGGACUGAACUGAACAACAACAUAGUAAUAUAACGUGAAUAUUAAUACUCAGAACACAUCAAGUAUUUUAAGUUUGAAAUCCCUUUUAAUAUGAAAAUAAACCAAAGGCUUUAAUACUCAUUUUCAGAUGCUCUUGAGCCAUGUUCUGACCACUAGUCAUUGCACCGGUCAUGAGAUGUUGGUUUUUAAGUUGUCACCUCCAUUUAGGGAGCAUAACGAAAAGUAAGAUUCACCUGAGACCAGGUAUACACGUAUUACACUAAAAAUGAAAUGCACAAAGUUUUAUACAUUGUGUGGUGAGUGGAUGGUUAAAAUGCUGGUCUGUAGAGACACAGGUCAUGAGUUCAAACCUGGUCAUCAGCAUUUUUGUUGCCUCUCAGAAAAGCAUACUGUACUUAGUCGAAACUAAGAUGAUGAAUUAGGCAUCACUCAAACUGGUUAACAUUAAGGAAGGGCAUUUAACCAUAAGAUAAUCUGUUCCAAAUAGAAAAGUUUAAAUUUACAGAACCAUUCAAUCCAUGAUAGCAUGAAAGAAACCAUGUUAAAAAGAAAAAGACAAUUGAAGAAAAAGUACAUAAUUUUGAAGUCUGAGCACCAUUAAUUUAUUUAAUACAUGCCACAAUCAUGCACACAGAUAUGCAUCAGCAUGCACAAGUUCAAUCCUCCUGUAAUCCAGGCACAUUACAUAGAAAUUGAGAUUCGAAAACACUAACACAGAUAUGAACUUAAGUGGCCAUUAAUCGAAAAGUGAUGUCCCAUACAGUUUAUCCCUUAUAUAUAAUAAAGGGGACCUACAAAUCCAAGCUGUAUCCUCAUUCAUUACUCCUGUGAGUAUUAGCUAACAGAGUGUCUAGCAAUGAAAGGUUUUCUUUAAAGGAAAUCAUUCAUACAAACUGAAAUUCCAGGGUUGAUUCAUUAAUCAAAGACCAUAAAUUCAUUAAGUACAAGAAUGGAAGGCUUAGAAUUACAUUUAUUCCAUCAUUAUUAUUAUUGUUUCAACAAUAGAUGGUUCAGAUACAUCAUGAACAAUAUUGCUCUAUUGGCCAUUACCUGAUGAGAUGAACAUGGCUCACAUGUUAUAUAUUGUAACAUUGUACAAACAUAUAAUCAUGAUGUACCUAAAUUAUGUAUUAUUGAAACAAUUGGAAUAAAGAAAUAAAUGCAAUACCAUAACCAUUCUUGGACUGAGUGUGUGCAUGUAUAUAAAUAUAUAUAUAUAUAUUAUAUGAGCUCACAAAGCAAAGAAUAGAGGUGUGGAAAGGGUAUACAACAGCUCUGCCUCCAACUUUCCACAAGAUAAAAAGAGGGCAGUGAUGAGCCAUGAAUAACCAUGCUCCAAAAAACCUACAAAGCCAUCUGUCUCAGGUUAUAUUGCAGUUCACAAAGUGAGAAACUGUCAUAAAUUUGCUUAUGUAAAAAUACCUUUGUUCACUUGUAUUCAAACAUACAUUGAUAUAAAUGAACUGAUACUGAGAUGAUAUCUAGUUCUAAUAUUACACUCUGUAGACUGUAUUGGGAUAACAAAUCACACAUUUAAUACCUGGUGCAAGUGGAACCUUCCACUUCAUAUUAGUCAUUAUAAUCAACAUAACUACAUUCUCAAACAGCAGUAGGGAGAUGACAAGUGGGACAUCACAAAGUGAAAUGAACACAUGCCACAGUAGCAGUAAUUAUAAGAAAGGAAGGUUUCUUAGACAGGUAGAAACUUAAGGGAAAGUCUUUUCAGUAAUUGCUGAGCUAAAAAAAGUUGCUCAGCCAAAGUUAGCACAUACAAUUCAUGAAAGUGCUGAAAAGUGAUACAGAAGCUGAACUUCAAAUUACAGAGAUUACAGGACAAUACUCAAGAGCCCAGGAAGGGUUGAAGAUAAAGAGAGUAGUAACCCCUUAUUUAAGUAACAGCAGACUACUCAGUAGAGAUAAGUGGGUUACAUUAUCACUGUGUUGGAAACAUGAACUCAUUAGAUGUCAUUUUAUAAGCAAAGACUAAUGUCAGUAACCUGUGGCCCAUGAUACAGCAAUAAAGGGUUUACUCUGUUUUUGAGAGUAAAUCAGUCGUCAGAUGAGGAGAGAAAUUGAGCUUCACAAAUUUGAGACAAAAGAGAUAGUGAAUUUCUCUGACUGAGGUAGUUAUGCUGCUGUUAUUUACCAUAAACAGCCACUAUAGAAAUGAGAGAAGACUGUUCUGAUACAAAUAUGGGAUGUGUAUGGAAGAUGACAGGUGAAUAAAGAAGUACAAAGUGAUCUGACUGGAAGGAACCUGUGGAAGAGGAAGACUGAGGAAGAAGUGGUGAAGGUUAACCUCAGGAUGCUGAACCUCGUGAAGAUGAUAAGCAAAAGCAACGAGUGGUAAGACACUGUACCGGAGGAAAACCAUGCAGUCCAUGCAAGCGUGAAAAGAAAAAGGUGAUGAUAAUAUCCAUUAGAAAUCAUGGCAGGAUGCUUAACUCAGCUAAUAGGUAUUUUCUUAGAGAAGCUCCUUAAGAACCAUAUCAAGGACAUGUUUACUCCAGCAAAUCUAGUAUCAUAGAAUCAACCAUAUUCAAUCAAGAAGUACUGCCAAACACUUUUGAGUAGACAUUCAUUCAUCUUAAAUUGUGAAGUAUUUAUACCAGUGAAGAAUCCCCUUCCUACUCUAAUGAAGUAUCUUGUAUUUUAGAGCAUUUAAUCACUGCUGUCAUACUAUCCUGCCUUACCUCCUGGUAGAUCUGCUUGACCAAGUAUGGGCAAGAUCAGGAGAAUGGCAAAUAUGUAAAUAUAUCCAGAAGCUGGAGUAGAUUAUCUUGAUUCGGGAAAAAAUUUAUAAAUUUCUUCAUUCUCACGAACAACUACAGAGAAUGGAAACAUCCUCCAAGACAAACAUUACUUUAGAUUUAAUGAUGCAUACACACAUGCAUAUGUAUUUAGACAUACACUCACACACAUAUAUACACAUGCACACAUAGAUUUACAAAGUACUCAAUAUAUGUAGCAGAGUUCAUUUAUUUAAAGUUAAAGGCUUCCUUCAGCCAUUACUCUGAAUUUUUGGUAUCUAUGUUUCACAAGAAACUUAGAAUAGUGAUAGACAAAAUCCUCAACUUGCAAAUAAAUGAAUAUAUAUAUAUAUGUGUGUGUGUGGUGUGCGUGUGUGUUUAUACAUAUGUCAUAGCUUUUUCUUAUUUUUUUCUUUUUUUUAAAUGAAUUUAGAAUUAAUAAACAUUUCUAAAACUGAUAGGUAUCAUAGCAAAAAAAAAAUGGUGAGACUAUUUUUUGGGGUUUUCUUUCUUUUUUUUUGUGUUUGGCACGUAACUUUUCUGCAAAUAUUUGGAAUGACUUAACAGCUAAAAAUCUCAGGUACAAAAGACUAUUUCUAAACAUUUUAUCAUUCUUUUUUUUUGGGGGGGGGGUUAUUUUUGUUGAUUCUGAAGGCAUUUCUAGUGUAAAAGUUGAAUCUUUUUAUUUUCAAUUAAAAAAAAAAAUUUUUUUUAUAGUACUUGAACUUAUAUGAAGUUCUGAAGUAGUUAAAAAUAACUGAUUUCAUUGGUGAAAUUCUGGGGAGAUGACAAAUUAAUGACAGAUGCAAUAUUGGAAUUAAAAAAAAGUAUAAUAAUAAUAAUAAUAAAAAAACUUUUUUUUUUACAAUGCUACUUUCCAAUCAACAACAGGAACAAAAAUGAUUUACAUAUACACAAUUUCAAAAUUCUUUGUAGCAAAACCGUUUUGGGAUGUAGGUGGGGAAAUUGAUAAAAAAAACAAACCAGUUUUGAUUUAUGCUUUUUUUUCUUUUUAUGAAGAAAAAAAAAAGGACAACUCAUAUCUAAAGUAAGAUUAAAGUUUAAAACUAUCUAAAAAAAAAUAAAAACUUUUUAAAAUGUAAAUUUUCUAAGAAUAUAAUUCAGCUUUCUCAAAGUAAUUUUUUUUGCUCAAUUUAUUAAUAUUAAUUAAUAUUAUAAUUUUUUUGUUUCAUUUCUGUUGCUUUUUUUUUUUUUUUUAAUUUUUUUUGUUUGUUUUGUAAUAAGAAGUAUAAAAGUAGAAAACUUUGGUACAGCAGGCAAAUUCUAUGAAAUAAUUGAUUAAAAUAAGGCUGGAUCUGGGAACAGCAAAUCCUGUGGUUAGUAAACUCCAAAGAUGCCAGGAAAUCAUUCUGCUUAAAUUUGAAUUAUAAUAUAAUAUGUUGGAUUCAGUUAAUUCAUGAUAAUUUAUAUACCGAAACCGCUAAAAAUCCACAGAUUUUCAGUCAAUUCUUUUCUUAAUUAGAAAGUUUUGCUGUGCAAAUGAUCGAAAUAUUCGAAAAAAAAAAAAAGAUAAGCAAAAUAUGACAGAUCUUGUGGUUAAUCAGCAUAUAUAAAUUUACAUCCUUCCUGACUUCAUAAAAAGAACCCAUUAUUAUUUAUUAUUAGUAUUAACAUGCUCUCUUUCUCUCUCCCCUAUUUCUCCUUUGUUUAUUUUUUUAAAACAUUUUUUAAAAAAUUAUGGUUAAUGGGAUCAGGAUGGGGCAGAAGGGGGGUGUUUAUAUUGACUUUUUUAUUUUUUUAUUUUUUUUGACGGGGCCUGAAACAAAAGUUCAAAGUAUGAGAAAUGAAUAAAUAAAUGACCAAAAAGCAAAAUUUAAAUAUUAUACACACGCAUACACGUG
rnacentral:lncRNA from 1 species